GGCAAGAUGGCCGAGCGGUUAAGGCGUGUGACUCAAGCGCAAGCUUCUCGCUCAUCGCGAGUUCUCAUCAUCGUAUGAUGGCGUGGGUUCAAGUCCCACUCUUGUCA